GAUGAACGCUGGCGGCGUGCCUAAUACAUGCAAGUCGAGCGAACAGACGAGGAGCUUACUCCUCUGACGUUAGCGGCGGACGGGUGAGUAACACGUGGAUAACCUACCUAUAAGACUGGGAUAACUUCGGGAAACCGGAGCUAAUACCGGAUAACAUGUUGAACCGCAUGGUUCAACAGUGAAAGACGGUCUUGCUGUCACUUAUAGAUGGAUCCGCGUCGCAUUAGCUAGUUGGUAAGGUAACGGCUUACCAAGGCAACGAUGCGUAGCCGACCUGAGAGGGUGAUCGGCCACACUGGAACUGAGACACGGUCCAGACUCCUACGGGAGGCAGCGGUAGGGAAUCUUCCGAAAUGGGCGAAAGCCUGACGGAGCAACGCAGCGUGAGUGAAGAAGGUCUUCGGAUCGUAAAACUCUGUUAUUAGGGAAGAACAAAUGUGUAAGUAACUAUGCACGUCUUGACGGUACCUAAUCAGAAAGCCACGGCUAACUACGUG
rnacentral:rRNA from 1 species